rnacentral:tRNA from 1 species
GUCCCUGUAGCCCAACUGGCAGAGGCACUGGUCUUAGGAACCAGAGGGUGUGCGUUCGAAUCGCACCAGGGAUA